rnacentral:rRNA from 1 species
GGAAAAGGAUGUGGCGUUGCCCAGACAACUAGGAUGUUGGCUUAGAAGCAGCCAUCAUUUAAAGAGUGCGUAAUAGCUCACUAGUCGAGUGACACUGCGCCGAAAAUGUACCGGGGCUAAACAUAUUACCGAAGCUGUGGAUUGUCCUUUGGACAAUGGUAGGAGAGCGUUCUAAGGGCGUUGAAGCAUGAUCGUAAGGACAUGUGGAGCGCUUAGAAGUGAGAAUGCCGGUGUGAGUAGCGAAAGACGGGUGAGAAUCCCGUCCACCGAUUGACUAAGGUUUCCAGAGGAAGGCUCGUCCGCUCUGGGUUAGUCGGGUCCUAAGCUGAGGCCGACAGGCGUAGGCGAUGGAUAACAGGUUGAUAUUCCUGUACCACCUAUAAUCGUUUUAAUCGAUGGGGGGACGCAGUAGGAUAGGCGAAGCGUGCGAUUGGAUUGCACGUCUAAGCAGUAAGGCUGAGUAUUAGGCAAAUCCGGUACUCGUUAAGGCUGAGCUGUGAUGGGGAGAAGACAUUGAGUCUUCGAGUCGUUGAUUUCACACUGCCGAGAAAAGCCUCUAGAUAGAAAAUAGGUGCCCGUACCGCAAACCGACACAGGUAGUCAAGAUGAGAAUUCUAAGGUGAGCGAGCGAACUCUCGUUAAGGAACUCGGCAAAAUGACCCCGUAACUUCGGGAGAAGGGGUGCUCUUUAGGGUUAACGCCCAGAAGAGCCGCAGUGAAUAGGCCCAAGCGACUGUUUAUCAAAAACACAGGUCUCUGCUAAACCGUAAGGUGAUGUAUAGGGGCUGACGCCUGCCCGGUGCUGGAAGGUUAAGAGGAGUGGUUAGCUUCUGCGAAGCUACGAAUCGAAGCCCCAGUAAACGGCGGCCGUAACUAUAACGGUCCUAAGGUAGCGAAAUUCCUUGUCGGGUAAGUUCCGACCCGCACGAAAGGCGUAACGAUUUGGGCACUGUCUCAACGAGAGACUCGGUGAAAUCAUAGUACCUGUGAAGAUGCAGGUUACCCGCGACAGGACGGAAAGACCCCGUGGAGCUUUACUGUAGCCUGAUAUUGAAAUUCGGCACAGCUUGUACAGGAUAGGUAGGAGCCUUUGAAACGUGAGCGCUAGCUUACGUGGAGGCGCUGGUGGGAUACUACCCUAGCUGUGUUGGCUUUCUAACCCGCACCACUUAUCGUGGUGGGAGACAGUGUCA